GAUGAACGCUGGCGGCGUGCCUAAUACAUGCAAGUCGAGCGAACGGACGAGAAGCUUGCUUCUCUGAUGUUAGCGGCGGACGGGUGAGUAACACGUGGAUAACCUACCUAUAAGACUGGGAUAACUUCGGGAAACCGGAGCUAAUACCGGAUAAUAUUUUGAACCGCAUGGUUCAAAAGUGAAAGACGGUCUUGCUGUCACUUAUAGAUGGAUCCGCGCUGCAUUAGCUAGUUGGUAAGGUAACGGCUUACCAAGGCAACGAUGCAUAGCCGACCUGAGAGGGUGAUCGGCCACACUGGAACUGAGACACGGUCCAGACUCCUACGGGAGGCAGCAGUAGGGAAUCUUCCGCAAUGGGCGAAAGCCUGACGGAGCAACGCCGCGUGAGUGAUGAAGGUCUUCGGAUCGUAAAACUCUGUUAUUAGGGAAGAACAUAUGUGUAAGUAACUGUGCACAUCUUGACGGUACCUAAUCAGAAAGCCACGGCUAACUACGUGCCAGCAGCCGCGGUAAUACGUAGGUGGCAAGCGUUAUCCGGAAUUAUUGGGCGUAAAGCGCGCGUAGGCGGUUUUUUAGUCUGAUGUGAAAGCCCACGGCUCAACCGUGGAGGGUCAUUGGAAACUGGAAAACUUGAGUGCAGAAGAGGAAAGUGGAAUUCCAUGUGUAGCGGUGAAAUGCGCAGAGAUAUGGAGGAACACCAGUGGCGAAGGCGACUUUCUGGUCUGUAACUGACGCUGAUGUGCGAAAGCGUGGGGAUCAAACAGGAUUAGAUACCCUGGUAGUCCACGCCGUAAACGAUGAGUGCUAAGUGUUAGGGGGUUUCCGCCCCUUAGUGCUGCAGCUAACGCAUUAAGCACUCCGCCUGGGGAGUACGACCGCAAGGUUGAAACUCAAAGGAAUUGACGGGGACCCGCACAAGCGGUGGAGCAUGUGGUUUAAUUCGAAGCAACGCGAAGAACCUUACCAAAUCUUGACAUCCUUUGACAACUCUAGAGAUAGAGCCUUCCCCUUCGGGGGACAAAGUGACAGGUGGUGCAUGGUUGUCGUCAGCUCGUGUCGUGAGAUGUUGGGUUAAGUCCCGCAACGAGCGCAACCCUUAAGCUUAGUUGCCAUCAUUAAGUUGGGCACUCUAAGUUGACUGCCGGUGACAAACCGGAGGAAGGUGGGGAUGACGUCAAAUCAUCAUGCCCCUUAUGAUUUGGGCUACACACGUGCUACAAUGGACAAUACAAAGGGCAGCGAAACCGCGAGGUCAAGCAAAUCCCAUAAAGUUGUUCUCAGUUCGGAUUGUAGUCUGCAACUCGACCACAUGAAGCUGGAAUCGCUAGUAAUCGUAGAUCAGCAUGCUACGGUGAAUACGUUCCCGGGUCU
rnacentral:rRNA from 1 species